UGGGAUGGCACAGUAUUUAGACAUGGAGAGGUAUGCCUUGACCUACAGACAGCUCUGCAGACUGGAAAGAUGGAUGCACUGAAUGAAGAAGCUCCCAUAGUGGCAAGUGCAUGAUCCAUUGCAUAAGAACAUAAGAAAAAUACAGCUAUGAUAAGAAGCAUAUCUGUUCUUCAUCACCCCUUGCCCCACAAAUGAAGUCUACUCCUCAUCCUGCCUCAGCAAAUAGUAUUUGAUAACUACUGGAUAUCACCAGUUCUAUUAUGAAACAAAAGAGUUGUCAGGGUUAUUCUUCAAUCUCUGGAAAUAAAUAUGGCACCUGAAAAUACAGAAAAUCGGCCGUCCCUGAUCUAUUGAACCAGCCUCUAUCAUGAAUGUGAUAAAUGUCUGACCUUUCCAAGGCUCCUCUUCAGACCAAGAGAAAAUGGAAUAUAUUUGAAUUUCAAGAAGACAGGCUAUGAAAACAUAAUGCAUGAGAUCAGUUUUCAUUCACCACUCAGACUAACUACCCCACUCAGUUCAAGCAAUUGCCCACAUGACCAACUACAAGAGGUGCUAAAGUAAUAGGUCCUGCUGGAGUUCCUUUCCUAUAAUUCAUGUAAAGUUUCAUCAAGCUGUGGCCCCGCAAACUAAUUAAGUCCAAGAGGCUUGCGUUUAACCCACUUUUAGUGUUGUUAACUUCAAGGCACAUUUGACUUUUCGAUCUUCUUGUCAUCCUCCUUAUUAUCACA